UACGUAGGGGGCAAGCGUUGUCCGGAAUUAUUGGGCGUAAAGAGCGCGUAGGCGGUCCGGUAAGUCGGCUGUGAAAGUCAAGGGCUCAACCCUUGAAAGCCGGCCGAUACUGUCGGACUAGAGUCCGGAAGAGGCGAGUGGAAUUCCCGGUGUAGCGGUGAAAUGCGCAGAUAUCGGGAAGAACACCCGUGGCGAAGGCGGCA
rnacentral:rRNA from 1 species